rnacentral:rRNA from 1 species
AUUGAACGCUGGCGGCAUGCUUUACACAUGCAAGUCGAACGGUAACAGGGGCUUCGGUCUGCUGACGAGUGGCGAACGGGUGAGUAAUGCGUCGGAACGUGCCGAGUAAUGGGGGAUAACGCAUCGAAAGGUGUGCUAAUACCGCAUACGCUCUGAGGAGGAAAGCUGGGGAUCGAAAGACCUGGCGUUAUUCGAGCGGCCGACGUCUGAUUAGCUAGUUGGUGGGGUAAAGGCUCACCAAGGCGACGAUCAGUAGCGGGUCUGAGAGGAUGAUCCGCCACACUGGGACUGAGACACGGCCCAGACUCCUACGGGAGGCAGCAGUGGGGAAUUUUGGACAAUGGGCGCAAGCCUGAUCCAGCCAUGCCGCGUGUCUGAAGAAGGCCUGGUUGUAAGGACGUUUGUUAGGUAG